UACGUAGGGUGCGAGCGUUAAUCGGAAUUACUGGGCGUAAAGCGUGCGCAGGCGGUUUUGUAAGUCAGAUGUGAAAUCCCCGGGCUUAACCUGGGAACUGCGUUUGAAACUACAAGGCUAGAGUGUGGCAGAGGGGGGUGGAAUUCCACGUGUAGCAGUGAAAUGCGUAGAUAUCUGGAGGAACACCGGUGGCGAAGGCGGCAUCCUGGACCGGCAUUGACGCUGAGGCGCGAAAGCUAGGGGAGCAAACGGG
rnacentral:rRNA from 1 species